GACGAACGCUGGCGGCGUGCUUAACACAUGCAAGUCGAACGGAAAGGCCCUGCUUUUGUGGGGUGCUCGAGUGGCGAACGGGUGAGUAACACGUGAGUAACCUGCCCUUGACUUUGGGAUAACUUCAGGAAACUGGGGCUAAUACCGGAUAGGAGCUCCUGCCGCAUGGUGGGGGUUGGAAAGUUUCGGCGGUUGGGGAUGGACUCGCGGCUUAUCAGCUUGUUGGUGGGGUAGUGGCUUACCAAGGCUUUGACGGGUAGCCGGCCUGAGAGGGUGACCGGCCACAUUGGGACUGAGAUACGGCCCAGACUCCUACGGGAGGCAGCAGUGGGGAAUAUUGCACAAUGGGCGGAAGCCUGAUGCAGCAACGCCGCGUGCGGGAUGACGGCCUUCGGGUUGUAAACCGCUUUCGCCUGUGACGAAGCGUGAGUGACGGUAAUGGGUAAAGAAGCACCGGCUAACUACGUGCCAGCAGCCGCGGUGAUACGUAGGGUGCGAGCGUUGUCCGGAUUUAUUGGGCGUAAAGGGCUCGUAGGUGGUUGAUCGCGUCGGAAGUGUAAUCUUGGGGCUUAACCCUGAGCGUGCUUUCGAUACGGGUUGACUUGAGGAAGGUAGGGGAGAAUGGAAUUCCUGGUGGGGCGGUGGAAUGCGCAGAUAUCAGGAGGAACACCAGUGGCGAAGGCGGUUCUCUGGGCCUUUCCUGACGCUGAGGAGCGAAAGCGUGGGGAGCGAACAGGCUUAGAUACCCUGGUAGUCCACGCUGUAAACGGUGGGUACUAGGUGUGGGGUCCAUUCCACGGGUUCCGUGCCGUAGCUAACGCUUUAAGUACCCCGCCUGGGGAGUACGGCCGCAAGGCUAAAACUCAAAGGAAUUGACGGGGCCCCGCACAAGCGGCGGAGCAUGCGGAUUAAUUCGAUGCAACGCGUAGAACCUUACCUGGGUUUGACAUGGAUCGGGAGUGCUCAGAGAUGGGUGUGCCUCUUUUGGGGUCGGUUCACAGGUGGUGCAUGGCUGUCGUCAGCUCGUGUCGUGAGAUGUUGGGUUAAGUCCCGCAACGAGCGCAACCCUUGUUCACUGUUGCCAGCACGUUAUGGUGGGGACUCAGUGGAGACCGCCGGGGUCAACUCGGAGGAAGGUGGGGAUGACGUCAAGUCAUCAUGCCCCUUAUGUCCAGGGCUUCACGCAUGCUACAAUGGCUGGUACAGAGAGUGGCGAGCCUGUGAGGGUGAGCGAAUCUCGGAAAGCCGGUCUCAGUUCGGAUUGGGGUCUGCAACUCGACCUCAUGAAGUCGGAGUCGCUAGUAAUCGCAGAUCAGCAACGCUGCGGUGAAUACGUUCCCGGGGCU
rnacentral:rRNA from 1 species